AAAGACCCCUCGUGCGGCGGCAACUCGCUGAACUCCCCCAGGGCCGGAAGGCAGCAAGGGCAGGCGGGCUCUACCGGGUGCACGGGGGGUUUCCCUU
rnacentral:SRP_RNA from 1 species